CUUCGGGAGAAGGGGGGCCCCAACCUUGAGCACCACGUGCUGGUGUGAGGGGAUCGGGGCCGCAGAGACCAGGGGGAAGCGACUGUUUAUCAAAAACACAGGUCCAUGCGAAGUCGUAAGACGAUGUAUAUGGACUGACUCCUGCCCGGUGCUGGAAGGUUAAGAGGAGGAGUGCAAGCUCUGAAUUGAAGCCCCAGUAAACGGCGGCCGUAACAAUAACGGUCCUAAGGCAGCGAAAUUCCUUGUCGGGUAAGUUCCGACCUGCACGAAUGGCAUAAUGAUGGCGGCGCUGUCUCCAGCAGAGACUCAGUGAAAUCGAAAUCGCAGUGAAGAUGCUGUGUACCCGCGGCUAGACGGAAAGACCCCGUGAACCUUUACUGCAGCUUGGCUGUGGCACCGGAAAUAAUAUGUGUAGGAUAGGUGGGAGGCUUUGAAGCAGCGGC
rnacentral:rRNA from 1 species